ACAAAGCUCUGGAGUUCAUUGACAUUCUUAGGAUUUCCGGUUUGAUGUUUAACAUGGAAACUGUCUGUAUUAAAGUUUCAGUGUCAAAGUUCCCACAGAGUGUCCAGUGUUUGAAUGUUGUUCCCACCCAGUGUCACGUUUUGAGGAAAGUUAAGGGCCUUGGGCUGUGGGCCUAGCAGGAAAAAAAAACAAUGGAUCAAUGGACAAUAUUGGAAACAAACAUUUGAGUGUAAGCAGCCCUCUACUGCCCCACUGAGGAAGAAUCUUGGAAACAGAAAGCCAGAAGAACCAGUGGGCUCUGCCCAGCCACCAUUGGUCCAUUUUUGCUCCGACUUCACAAAGAAGCAUCGUAGGACGUCAUAGAUACCUGUUCACUUACAGAUCUGCCUGAGACUGUCUCCUGUACCUACAGUACUGAAGUUGGCAUUUGGUUGAAAAGCUACUAGAGUCCGAUGCUGAAAGAUUCUACUGGAACUUCCAGGAGCUGUUAAACAUUGACAUAGUGCAUUUAUCUCCACUUUGGCCAGAAGUAUACGAUCUUCUAGAACUGGAUUUAGGGUACUUGUGGACUACCUGACCUGUAUCCCAAGAACCAAAUGCAGGUCCUCUGCAGAAAUCAUAGACAUUGUGGACUCCAAAGCCAGCUCCCCAGCCUGGACCCAGUGAGUUUUGAAGUGUCUGUUGUAUCAUCAACUCCUCUUGAACCUGAUUUUCUUGCUGUGUUGGUUCACAGUGAUUGCUGAGAUCAGGGGAGAGGGAGGCUAUCCUUUUCAAUGAACAGUUCUUACUGUCUGUGAGCGUUUGUUUGCAGUUGAUCCCUGUCAACAUGAUCUGGCUCUCAGUUUGUAUCUACUGCUUUAGAAGGUAUUUCAUUGUCUUCCCAAGCAUUCAAUGUGCUUGACUAGGUUGUCUGACUUUUUUUUUUUUUUACUUUUUAUUAUAUUUAUUAAUUCGUGACUGUGACAAGUACCCCACUUUCCAAGUUUUCUCCAAAGUUUUCUCUUGAUACUGCUACAGUGUGCUGCAGUAUCAUGGUAAGGGGCUGUAAGUGGCAUGAAACAUAAGGACCACAAUUUUUAACUGCAAACCAUGAUGGUGUGUAAUGAUUAAAUGAAAAUAUUUGUUAUGGAUGGUCAGAUGAAGAUUUCAAAAUAUCAUAUCUAAGGUAUUUUCAAUUGUUUCUCCUGUCUUCUUGGGUAUUUGUAGCUACAAACCUUGUCUUGUGCAUGAUUUUAAAUGUCCCAUUUUUAAUUCCUCAUUGAAAUUUUGGUUCCAGUCAUAUCAUGAACAGCGUGAUCAUGGAGCAGGACCAGCUGGCCUGCUCCUGUAUUGAUGAGAAUGUCAUAACUAAUUAUAAGUUGUUGGCCACCCUGGUUGAAGGGAACUUUUUAGAGGUCUAACUGGCUUUCCAUGUCCCCACACUGAUCUGUGUGGCUGUAAACAUUUUCCAAAAUGUCAAGAUAUAUGUCUUGCUUUUCUGCAGGAAAAUCAGCAAUGUGAAAUCAUUUGACCAUCCUAACUUUAUCAAGCUGUUUCACAUGGUCAGAGAAGAGAAAACACCUACCAGUUGAAGGAUAAUGCCUCGGAUGGAGAGACACUAGAACAAGUCAUUGAAGGUGGGGGUCUUUAAAGGAAAGUCUCUAUGCAAGGUUCAAAGGAUGUUUGCUGAGAUAGUACAUGCUGUGCAGUACUGCCAUGACCAUCACAUUUUCCACAGAGACAUAAAGACCAGCAAGCUGUUAAUCGACAGCAGUAGGAACACCAAGCUGUGUGAUUUUGGCCUGGGUAGAAGCAAGCAGAUUUCUGGGACACACUUCCUUACAGUGCCCCAGAAUUUUAGCAAGCACAGGAACAUGAGAGCUGCCCUGUGGAUUACUGGAGUUUAGGGGUCCUCCUGUUCUUCAAGAUGGUCAGGAUCUCAGCUUUCUGGGGCAAAUAUUUUGUAGGUGUGAAACUGCAGAUUAUCAAGCACCACAAACUUUAGCAUUCCUUUUUAUGUUUCCAUUUAUUUUUUAAGGUCAUCACUGAACUAUUGAUGGUCAAUCCCAGAAGAAAUCCCACCAUCCACAAAAUCAUGAUGUGCCUCAUGAUUAGUGAAAGUGAGGCAUGUUUAUUACCUCCUUCCUGUGUAUUUCUGCUUUGAAGUUUUGAAGAGGACCAGAAGCCAGAGAGUAGGAAUGUGCAGGCUCUUUUAACAAUUUUAUGGUGACCUGGUCUACAUUGAACAGUUGUUGUACACGCAAGGCUCUGUGUAAGACUUAAGAUGAUGUUGGGAUAUUAUAAAGACAGAAUCAGGCAUGAGGAGUUCAUGGUGAUGAGAGUGAGUGACAAGCUGCUCGGGUCUCCUGUCUGAGAGUGGAGGUGCUUCCUCACAGAUCCGCAUACAGAGGUGAGGCCAGUGUCAGUCUGUCCCUUCUUCAUCCUCCCCAAAUAGAGAGAGAGAUUGGUCAAUUAACUUAUCAAAAGUGUGUUUUCAGUUUAUAUUCUUGUAGAAUAUAGGUUAUAUAAAAAUUUAGAAAUAAUACAUACAUACAUACAUACAUACAUGCAUACAUACACACAUACAUACAUACACACAUACAUACAUACAGACAUGAAUGGCAGGAAAAGCCACACUUAAAAUGGCGUUAGGAACUAAC